AUUGAACGCUGGCGGCAGGCCUAACACAUGCAAGUCGAACGGUAACAGGAAGCAGCUUGCUGCUUUGCUGACGAGUGGCGGACGGGUGAGUAAUGUCUGGGACACUGCCUGAUGGCGGGGGAUAACUACUGGAAACGGUAGCUAAUACCGCAUAACGUCUCAAGACCAAAGAGGGGGACCUUAGGGCCUCUUGCCAUCGGAUGUGCCCAGAUGGGAUUAGCUAGUAGGUGGGGUAACGGCUCACCUAGGCGACGAUCCCUAGCUGGUCUGAGAGGAUGACCAGCCACACUGGAACUGAGACACGGUCCAGACUCCUACGGGAGGCAGCAGUGGGGAAUAUUGCACAAUGGGCGAAAGCCUGAUGCAGCCAUGCCGCGUGUAUGAAGAAGGCCUUCGGGUUGUAAAGUACUUUCAGCGGGGAGGAAGGGAGUAAAGUUAAUACCUUUGCUCAUUGACGUUACCCGCAGAAGAAGCACCGGCUAACUCCGUG
rnacentral:rRNA from 1 species